UUUCAGGAAGACAUGGGACAGUACCCAUUCCCAUUAUGUUGCCUGUACAAUAAAUAUGUAUAAGCCCAAUAGGACUAAAAUGCAAAAUUCAUCUUGCCAGAUUAGACAAAAUGUUCAUCUAGUCCUAAUAACCUGUUUUCAACAACAUCAAGCCAUAUGUUUUUACCCAACUAUUUACUUGUCAGAAAGUAAUUUUCUGAGUCAGCAAUUCCUGAUUUUGCCUUCUGGAAAUGUGGCCAGAAGACUGAGGAUAUCUCUAUUCACACUUCUGAUGCAGCUUUUGGUGGCAUUUCUAUAUUUCUUUGUCUCUCCAUUGUACUAGCAGUGUGAUGUGAUGAAAAAAGUUUAAAAGAAUGAGUACAGGAAUUAAUAUUUACCAUACUGACUUCUUUCAUGUCUGUUUGGCAUCAUUUCCAAGAGAGAUUUUAGAAUACAUAAUCAGCCAGUCUAUGAGUACUUAUUAAAAAUGAUGCAAUUUCUCAAAGCCAGGAUCUUUUUUAUCAAAUCUAAGCAUAAGAGAAUUUUAAAAAUAGAAUUACAAACUUAGUAGAUUAGGGAAAUGCUGAGAAUAUUUUAUAUCUUGUUUUCAGCAAUAAUUUCAAGAGUUCUCUGUGCUAUUUUCAUGGACAAGCUGGUAAAAUAUGGGUCAGAUGAUACUACUGUUGGGAUUUAUAGGCUACUAAUUCAAAUCUAAAGAGUGCUCACCAGUGGAUUUUUUUUGUCAUCUUCCAGGAAGAAAAAGAAACUGGUACUGUGGCUGCUUUUUGUCCGGGGCUCAAUAUUCAACAUUGUUAUAACUAAUAAUGAUGAUGAAGAGGAAUUAUCUUCCGAUUUGUAGCUGACUUCAAACUGAUUUUCAGACUUGUUUUUUGUGAUGGUUUGCAAAGAUACUACAUGUGUGUUAACUGGAAAAUCAAUGCAUGAAGCAAAUUGGCUGAGUUUGCAAGGACCUGGGAAUUAGUUUGUAACUGUUGCUGCCUUGCUGCUGGAGAACCGGUUUGAACAGGUUUCUCUCUCUGUGUGUAUGUGAGUUAUCUGAAUACUGGCUGGAAAGAAGAUGGCUCUAUACUCAGAGACCUGACUAUUUCUGAGGCCUUGUUUGCUGCUGAUCUUCACUGAAGCAGAUUUAUGGACUAAGAAAGGACUGCUUAUGACUGCUGAUUUCUGUGAGCAAACAGAGGGACUAUUGUAAAUACCAUUGUUCUGUUGAUCUUUUGGAAUCAGUAAAAGUUCCUGUGUUAUUUGUUCUGCGAAGCUGAGUGGUGCAUCAUUCUGCAGGGUGACUCUGGCUCACGGGCACACAUAAGAGCUUCUAUCUAUCUUCCACAAUCCCCAACAAUUUUUUUCUCAAGAAAACUUACUUUUUAAAAAGGAAUAUUUUAGGAGAUGCUCAGCUAGUGUGGUAAAUAGAAGCACAUUUUGAUUCCCUUAUGGGUAGUUUUGCUUGUGACAUUAUUUAUGCUAUUUGUUGUUGGUGCAUCCAGUCCCUUUCCCUUCCUCUAGAUUGUGUCCUUGUUUCUAGAUUGCAAUCCCCACAUUAUUUUUCUGUUUCUCCUCCUACACCUCAUUUCAAUGUUUUAAAGAUUUUCUCCAUCUCAGCAGGAUUAUCACUAAUUUAGCAAGAUGAAAUGGAGUAGCAGCGGGAGGGAAAUGAAAAGAAAUGCAAUAAGCACACAAACAUUUUCUUCAUUAAAAUCUUUGAAUUUUCCACACCAAUUUCCUAUGCAUGUACAAAUACCAGACUCUCCCUCCCUCUUUCUAUCCCUUGGUCUCCAAUUUCACUUCAGAAUGAUAAAGAUGUAGGUGUAGAUAGCUAAGAAGUUGCAUUAAGAAACAGGCUGUAAAGUUCUGCCUAAGUAGAACUAUGCUCCAUCUCCUCUCUGACCCACUAAGAAGCUUACCUUUAACAUGCUGCAUGCCUCCAAUGGCCUAAAUAUCCUAGAGGCAUCAUAUCCCAUCUGAUGUUCAAAGCUAAGAACGGUUAGUACUUGGUUAGUACUUGUUUUGUCUGAAACUGGGACCCACAAAAGUGAUGAGGUUCAGGAAUGACCCCUGGAUAUCUCAGCUUUGGGAUCUGAAAAAAAUACCCCCAGUUGAGCAACACUGCUUUAUCACCACCUGAUGAACUCACUCUAGGUGCAGCCAAAGUGCCCAGCAACAGAUUAUGUAAAUGUGUGCUGGGAGUGCGCCAAUCCCACACCCGACACAAUGGACUCUUUGUUGAACCCAUCAUUGGUAAUAACCACCCAUUGUUCAAUCUUUCCCCUUUGCCAAUACAGUAAAAUAAUCUGGCCAUUGGAGUACCAAUUGAACACUAACACAAGACUGGGACCCUCGUCACUGCUACCCAGUUCUGCUGGCCAGAUUUUAUAUAUUAUAUUAUUUUAUUUUAUCCUGCCUUUCUCCUGAGAUGGCUGGAUUGCAGGGGAGUGCAGCAUGUAGAUUUGGGGGCAGGUUUCAAUCACUGCAUGAAGAAAGAAGAUCAUUUUGAUGUUCACAUGCAGGCAUAAGCUGGGCUAAUUCUUACGUAUGUCACUAACAGAAUGCCAACCAGAUAUAUUACAUAGAUAUCAGUAUUUAAACGACAUGGAGGGCUAUACAAUAUACCAGCCUAAGUAUUAACCUGAAUCUUUCUGCAAGAAAGAUUGUCAUAGAUCAGCCAUCUCUUUUGACAUUCAUGCUUUUCAUGAAAAUGGAGGCACUUCCUUGAAAUGGCUCACUGUGGGUAUGGAGCCAUCAUACAGACAUUGGCCUACUUAUAUGUUUCUAUGGACAAUUCAUGGAUCAAAAGUUAAAUUUUUAUUGUAUGUCACACAAGAUGCAGUCGAAAAUCAAAAUAAAAUAUAUUCAUAGAACAAUUUUUAAAUCCAUUAAAUAUGCAUUGGCUGCUUGCUGGGAAUUCUUCACUCUGCUAACAAUAAGUAGGUUCAUUUAGCAAUGCUUUACAAGUAAUAACCGCCUACAGCUUUUCUCAUAAAAAAAACCGAGUUAACACUAAUUUGUUAUGUUUAGCUAUGUCAGCAAGGUUUAGAAUUAGGGCUUUAGAAAAUGGGCUCACUAAUAAGAACUCUGUGACCUGUGUAAGAAAUACAUUUUCCCUGGUUGCUGAUAAGUGACAUUUUAACAUGCAGUUUACUAGAGCAGGAGAAGAGAAAUGUUCAGGUCCCCAUUUUCGGUCAUCCCCAGAGGCCACCAUCUUCCAUCCAAUGCUAUGUUACCAGGUACAAAGUGAGGCUAUUUUUUCUUCCAGUACUGUAAAACAAGUGCUCAUUGUGAUUGCUGAUAAGAGUGAAUGUUAUCUUCUAACAUUAGAGAAUGCCCCUGCUUUUAUGUCCAAUCAGAGAUUGAGGAUUUGCUAUCUUAGUGUUACACAAUUCUGUUGAUCCCAUGGGCACAUCUGUGCAUAUGCACGACUAGAUGGGAAAACAGCUUGGAAGUAGAUGAAUUGGAAGGUAGGAAAGAUAUUUCCUUGUUCAAAUCCCUAGUAACUGCAGGAGCCAGGAAAAGCAUCCCUCUCCUACCACAGUUUUGUGGAAAGUGAGGCUGCUGUGGCUGAUAAUUUGUGUUCCUCUGCAUUAGAGAAAAUUUGCAUUUCUUUAAUAUUUAAGGUUGCCAGAUCAGAAUUAUUCCAGAACCAAAAUCUGAGAUCUGCACUGUAAAAGCAAUGCAGUUUGACACCAUUUUAACUGCCAUGGAUCAAUACUAUGGGAACCUUGGUUUUUGUUUUAGUUUGGGAAGACACCAGCACUCUUUAACAGAGAUGGUUAAAGCCCUUGUGAAACUCUAAUUUCCAUGUUUCUAUAACAUUGAGCCAUGACAGUUAAAGUGGUGUCACACUACAUUAAUUCGACAAUGUAGAUGCACCCUUGGAAAUGAUCCUCUGUGGUGUUACAAGGCACAAACUUUCAUAAUGCUACAAAAGAUAACCCUUGGUGAUGGUAUUAACCAUAAUAAAUUAAGCAUUAACCAAAGUUAUACUGAAUACAUCAUUUAAAAAAAACACUGUGCGUCUAAUGAGUAAAAUAUAUAUGCAUACUCUUUUCAAAGCAUGCUCUCACCCUGAGAUUCCUUCCCUUGCCCUGAGAACUGAAAAAGAAGGCAAUGUCUGAUAAGGAACCACAGUGAUAUGGAUUCUGUCUUAACAGUGGCGGUUAUUCAUCUGCAUUCUAGUAUUUAAGGACUCAGCAUUUUGGGAAAUUUUGAAAAAUUAGUUUUGUUGACAACGUUCCCAGAACUCUCCAGCCAAUGUGCCACUGGCCCACUUGUUUCUGUCUGUCUUUUUUGGUGCCUCUGGUUUUUGAAGAAAAGAAAAGCCUCAUUUUAAGGAUUGUUUCGGUCAUGGUUACAUGAUGUGAUGAUGUCAUUCAGUGUAUUUUCAGAAACCAGCUUCAGAAUAUCUACAUGAAAAUAUUCAUCUCUGUCUCCCCUGCUAUCCUGCCCCAUUGCCUACGUACAUUUCACGAUGAGCUGCAGUAAGAUUCACUCAGUACUAGAACACUUUCUCAGUUUUGCUUGAAAGCUUUUCAAUGUAAAUGUAUAGCAAAAUAAAAGUUGGUUGUACAGCACAAAGAGCAAAGGCUUCAGAAUAAUAGCUCUUUUACAGUUUCUCUUAGUGAAAGCAAAGUAGGACCAGCAAUUGUUUCAAGACAUCUCUAUACAUUUUACUGUAAAUUUUAAUACAAAUAAUGAAUUCAGUGUGCCUCUUCUUUUCUGUACACCCCAUUGGCAUGAAUUGGACUUGUGUGAAAUACUCUGUGGUCUUAUGCAAUGCCUAUGUAUCUCAAUGGCUUUUGUGCAGGAGGAACUGAAAAUGGUCUCUCUAAGAGUUUUCUAGGUCCUCUAGGUAAUUCUAAGGUAUUAUUAUAUUUAUUAUAUUUAUUUAUACCCUUCUUGUUCUCCUCCGAAGGGGACUCAAAGCGGCUUAACAAAAAAGUGUCAGCAUAACUAUUUAAAAUAUACAAAUAUGUGAACAUUAAAACAGGAUUAUAUAUAAACAGUACUUAAAAAUUCUCAGUUAAAAUCCAUUAAACCAUAUUCAAAGUUAAAAUGCUGAAAGUUAUUCACACUGGAGGACCUAUUACAUUCCUAGAGACUGUGCCUCUCUCAGAAUUUCUGACUUUCUAAGUAUGCUAGGACGGGAAGUCAAGUAAUAUAAUGGUGUUUGGUUGUAUCCACAGUUCUAGGUGACUGCGGUCUGGCUGGGAAUGUACAUAUGUAUAUAAUAACAUUUCAUAAGAUUUUCCUCCCCAACCAUAGAAUACGAUUGAAUAAAAUGCUUUUCAGUGUGUUGUUAAA